rnacentral:lncRNA from 1 species
AAAAUUUGGUCCACAUAGUCUCCCUGCAAAAUGAAACAAAAUGUCGUUUUAAAAAAUAUGGGUCCAUGCACUCGUUUUCAAAUUAAAUCAGUUUGAAUGAUAAAAAUCAGUCGAAAAAUGCAUCUUUUCCCUAUAUGUCACAGUUAGACGUCACGAAAAUAACAUUUUACGUUAGCAACGUCAUUACCUCCCCUGUAACUGUAUC